GCCGGGGUGGCCUAGCUGGUUAGGGCGUCAGACUCAUAAUCUGAAGGUCGCGGGCUCGAAUCCCGCCCCCGGCA
rnacentral:tRNA from 2 species